UAGAGGAAGUAAAAGUCGUAACAAGGUUUCCGUAGGUGAACCUGCGGAAGGAUCAUUACUGAAUAAUCAUGAUAGGUUGUUGCUGGCUUUCCUUUAGAGAAGGGGAGGUAUGUGCACACUUGUCAUUUUGUUCUUUUGUUUCCACCUGUGCACUGUUUGUAGGCCCUUAGAGAAGUGUAAUUGAAAUUGAAUAGAUUUUUUUGAGGACUUGUUGAUGCCUGCCCUUUUAAAAAGAUGGCUGGACCAGCUUUUCCUUGUGUCUCUAGGGUUCUAUGUUGUUAUUAUAUACUCCUAUGAAUGCAAUAGAAUGUUGACCUGGGUCUUUGUACCUAUAAAGUUGCAAUACAACUUUCAGCAAUGGAUCUCUUGGCUCUUGCAUCGAUGAAGAACGCAGCGAAAUGCGAUAAGUAAUGUGAAUUGCAGAAUUCAGUGAAUCAUCGAAUCUUUGAAUGCAUCUUGCGCUCCUUGGAAUUCUGAGGAGCAUGUCUGUUUGAGUGUCAUUUAAAUUCUCAACUACACAUAUGUAGCUUGGAUCUGGGAGGGACUUUUUGCAGGCUUUGUAAAUGGAAGGCAUGCUCUUCUAAAAUCAAUUAGCAGUGCCCUAGUGGAACCAAUCUACAGGUGUGAUAAUUUAUCUACACCUUCAGAAGGGGAGGGGUUAGGCUGCUUCUAACAUCACUCUUGAUGACAAUCUUGACCUCAAAUCAGAUAGGACUACCC
rnacentral:rRNA from 1 species